UACAGAGGUCCCAAGCGUUGUUCGGAAUUACUGGGCGUAAAGGGCGCGUAGGCGGCCGAUCAAGUCAGAUGUGAAAGUCCUGGGCUUAACCUGGGGACUGCAUUUGAUACUGAUUGGCUUGAAUGCAGGAGAGGAUAGCGGAAUUCCCAGUGUAGAGGUGAAAUUCGUAGAUAUUGGGAAGAACACCGGUGGCGAAGGCGGCUAUCUGGACUGUGAUUGACGCUGAGGCGCGAAAGCGUGGGGAGCAAACAGG
rnacentral:rRNA from 1 species